AGACCUUUUGUGCAGGCAGGGACAGUCACCUUGUCUAUAUCAAUGAUAAUACAGAAAACACAUUCCUCAAAGAGACUGCUCGUCAAAUGACACCUCGCGAUUGGUCUGACGGACAAGGCAACCGACGGUGUUUGGAUUUGGGGCGAUGGAUCAGAGGCAACAUUUACAGAUUGGAAUUCAGUCGAGCCUAAUGGUGACGGAGACUGCGCACAUUUACAGAGCUCAGCGUUCCCAUGGAAUCACAUUUCGUGUGCUUACAGUUCAAAUACUUAUCCCAUCUGCGAAAAGUAGUUCACCAACUUAAAUGACUAAAGAUACACUUCGGUCUGAGAUGUAAUUAGACGCCUACACGUUACUUGAAAUCGUCGGUGUAUUAGAGUUUCACAGUCAUUGGGUUCAGUUAAGAAAAUAAGGAAAAAGCAUAGCAAAAAUUACCAUGCUUUAAAUGUAUCAACU